rfam:Macrostomum lignano unitig_48340, whole genome shotgun sequence.
UGACCUCGGAUCAGACGUGAUUACCCGCUGAAUUUAAGCAUAUUAUUAAGCGGAGGAAAAGAAACUAACAAGGAUUCCCCUAGUAACGGCGAGUGAACGGGGAAGAGCCCAACACCGAAUCCCUUGGCGCAAGUCAACGGGAAAUGUGGUGUUAAGGUAGCCCUUCGUGUCAGUCUAGGCGUCUCAAGUCCACCUGAUUGUGGCUCAAGCCCAGAGAGGGUGUAAGGCCCGUAGAGACGCUCCGACUGAUUCCUGGGGUUUACCUACGAGUCGGCUUGUUUGGGAAUGCAGGCCAAAGCGGGUGGUAAACUCCAUCCAAGGCUAAAUACUGGCACGAGUCCGAUAGCGGACAAGUACCGUGAGGGAAAGUUGAAAAGAACUUUGAAGAGAGAGUUCAAUAGUACGUGAAACCGCUUAGAGGCAAACGGAUGGUGCUCAUACUGGCCUGAGGAAUUCAACUGUGACGGUGGCUGGACGAGCUGGCGUUCCGAUCUCUCUUUUGGGACGGGCGUCGGUUUGGCUAUCAGCUCUGACAUGGUGCACUUUCCUUGGUGCCUCCGCCACGACCGACGACACUGGCUACCCGCGGCUGGGGUAAGGUGACAAACUGCUUCGGCAAUUUGUGUUAUAGACCCCGGCGUCGGACAUGGUUUGGCCAGGACGUCGAGCUUGCGGCGCCCGCUCCUUGUGGGCUCGCAUGUUGGCUAGCUUGGCUGCGCCGAUGCUUGCACUGGACAACCAGUACAGGUGACGGUUGUGGUCUUGUCUCUAGUUGGCCUCUGCGAGUUUGGCGCCUAUAGUCUGUGGUGUACUUGUGGGUAGACUAUCCGACCCGUCUUGAAACACGGACCAAGGAGUCUAACAUGUGCGCGAGUCAUGGGGAUUCUACGAAACCCAAAGGCGCAGUGAAAGUAAAGGCCUUGCUUCUCGUAGGCUGAGGUGGGAUCUCGUGCAUCGCGAUUGGCGAGCGCACCACCGGCCCGUCCUAUCUGUCUCUGUCAGUGGGGCGGCGCAAGAGCGUACACGUUGGGACCCGAAAGAUGGUGAACUAUGCUUGCGCAGCUCGAAGUCAGUGGAAACACUGAUGGAGGAGCGCAGCGUUUCUGACGUGCAAAUCGAUCGUCAAACGUGAGUAUAGGGGCGAAAGACUAAUCGAACCAUCUAGUAGCUGGUUCCCUCCGAAGUUUCCCUCAGGAUAGCUGGCACUCGGGAAACAGUUUUAUCCGGUAAAGCGAAUGAUUAGAGGCAUUGGGGUCGAAACGACCUCGACCUAUUCUCAAACUUUAAAUGGGUAAGAUGCUCGUCUCGCUUAAUUGGAGGCGGGCUUACCUCUCUAUAACGUGAAUGUGAGUGCCCAGUGGGCCAUUUUUGGUAAGCAGAAACUGGCGCUGUGGGAUGAACCAAACGCGCGUUAAGGCGCCCAAUGCGGACGCUCAUGAGACACCACAAAAGGUGUUGGUCGAUACUGACAGCAGGACGGUGGCCAUGGAAGUCGGAACCCGCUAAGGAGUGUGUAACAACUCACCUGCCGAAUCAACCAGCCCUGAAAAUGGAUGGCGCUGGAGCGUCGGGCCUAUACCGUGCCGUUGGGGCGAAGCAGACAAAUAAUCUGUGUGGAUGUCCCAACGAGUAGGAGGGUCGCCGUGGUGAGCGCAGAAGGUGCGGCCGUGAGGCCGGCUGGA